rnacentral:lncRNA from 1 species
AAGGCAUGCAAGCCCAGAGAAGUUAAAUAACUUUUCCAAGGUCUCACAGCUACUAUGAGGCAGAAUAAGCAUUUGAACUUUGGCAGUUUCCUCAAGUCCAGGCUCUUUAUCCCUAUACCAUCUUGCCUCAUGACUGGAAUUAUUUGAAUAGCUAUUAUUCUUUCUCUUUGCCUUCCCAUCUUACUCUUAAGGGGAAUUCUGCAUUAUAGCUAGUAGUCCAAGCUCAUUGAGCUGUGCCCACUGCAGGUCAUCAGAAAUAUAGAAAAAGCUGAGUGACACAGCCUAGGCAACGUGGUGAAACCCCAUCUCUAUAAAAAAUACAAAAAAAUUAGUUGAGUGUGGUGGCAUGC